UGGUUGGUGCACUCAACAGCUGACUGCAGUGGCACUCGAAUUAAACACCUGUGCGCACCUCUACAUCUGUUACGCCGGGCGGGGACUUCAGGACUAGCUGAAGCUAAUAUCCAUAGUGGUACAUCACCUCUGCCAUCAAAACGGCGGUCGAACGAGGGACGCCAAGUGAACAUGGGGCCAUCAGACCAUGGAUUCCGAGCUGGGAACUGAAGUGUAGCAUCGGCACCAGGUGACAGUAGAUGAAUUGGUCGUAGGCACCGGGAUUCUUCCCACAUCCAAGAAGCUAAUCUUCGGUACCAUCUCAGUCGCACCUGGACACCGGCCCUGGUUCCCCUACUUCUUCUUUUCUUCGUGUUAAAUCCCACCGAUAUGUACGGUAACAUGCACUCAGUGACUUCUCCACUGUUGUAGUUGUCCAGUUCCCUAUACACUGGCAUAUGGCAACAACCAAGGUCGUUCUUGGUCAUCUGGGGUUCCUGCUUGUCAAUAUUUUUAGAAAGUGUGCUUACGUCAAGAUUUCUAGCCAUACCUUGUCAGAAGCCUUUCAUGGUUGAUCAAAAAACCGCAGCAUGCAUUUUGUACUGCUUUAUGGAUUAAAUGCUGCAACUUGUGAUGCAGUGACCCAUUACAGUCAAUAAGUUAACAAUUAGGAGACACAGAAAAAGAUGUACACUGUUAUGUGUUAGACUACAAUACCGUAUUGUACUGUUAUUUUAUCAAUUCAGACAGCCAGUUGUUUUAUCUGUUUACUCUGUGCUCAAUAGCACUGAAUAAACAGCAGGUGCAUUGUUUGAGCUGUGGUUGGGCGAAGUUCAGGACCUGAGCAAACCUGUGUCGUAUACAUUUGCCAAACAGAAGAUGUGAUUGAUGUCCAGGUCAUUUGUAGUUCUUAAAGGUGAGUGUGAGUGGCACUGUGGAAAUAAACUUAACUCUUUAGUUCUCUA